GGUGGCUCAGUGGUAGUGUGCUUGCCUUGCAUGCAAGAGGCCCUGGGUUCGAUUCCUCAGCACCA
rnacentral:tRNA from 1 species